ACCCUGGUGGUCCAGCGGCUAAGGAUCCCACGCUCUCAUUGCUGUGGCCUGGGUUCAAUUCCCAGGCAAGGAA